rnacentral:tRNA from 5 species
GCCCACGUGGCUCAGUGGUAGAGCACCCCCUUGGUAAGGGGGAGGUCACGAGUUCGAUCCUCGUCGUGGGCU